GUAUGAGGACAGCUCUGUAAUUAAGAUUGUUAAGAAAAAUGGUUCACGUGUAUUGAGGACACCCCUAUGGAUCCCCAUGGAUACUAAUAGACUGGUGAAACGAGAAAUGGUUACGAGUUCGUCUAUUGUUAAUGGAUAUGGAUUUAUAUUAUGUACCGUUAUGGUUUAUUAUGCAUGAAAUUAUGAUAUGUAUGAUAUUAUUGCUUCUAUAAUUUAUUUUCAUGAAUUCUCCAAUGGUAAGUAAAAAGGUAAAUAGUUUUAUUUUAAAUAAAUGUA
rnacentral:lncRNA from 1 species